UGACACUUAUUAAGGUUUUUCAUAUUAAAGAUUGUAUAAAUAAGUCUGUGGUGAAUGCAGCAGUAUCAUUCACAUAAGAAUGGGAAAAAAUAAGGCAAGUCUAUAGAAGGACAAAAUGUAUAGGAUAUACAGCUACCUAGAUAUAUUUUUUUCCCCCUUGACUGAUAUUCUUCUGGUAGGAGCAGCACGGGCAUACUGAGAUGAUUAUCCACUAUUAAACCAUACUGUGCUUUAGACAGACAUCAGCUCAUUGGGUUACAGCGUGCUAUUUUUCCAUGAAGAGAACAGAAACAGGAAUAAUAACCCGUAUUUUGAAGAGGCAGUACAUAUUGGUCCUUAGUGCACAGUUGAGGCAAAUAUCUCUCAUGCUUUUAGCAAGAAGCAAGUCUACUUGAGUCUCCUGCAGGUGGACUACUUUUCUGGGAUCAUGGGCCUGCUGAUCAUCAGGAUUCCUACUAAUUCUCAGAGCUAUUCAACCUUGUUUAGAAUGUGAGAUUUGGGAAGCUACCUUCUGUAGAUCAGCCCGCACACACACAUUAUAUGAAACUUCCCAGCAGUGCUCUGUCAUCUGGUGCGGCUUCUAGCACUUAAGCUCUUCCUUGUCGGGGUCUGUCUGCAUGAGUCAUGAGCCAUAACUGGCCUUCUUCCAUCUCCUCCAUUUGGUAUCAAUUUGUGCCUGGAAAAGUGCGUUUCCAGCUCCCAGCUGUGCAGGUCUGCCUGCCAGGGCAAUGCUGAUUGGAUUUGCAGCUGGACUCCGCUUCCUUUGCUCUGCUUGCAUUAGGCUCUUGUUCUAGGGUAGAAAAGGGGGAAAAGGGAAGGAAUGGGAGAUACAAAGACCCAUAAAGGAUGAGUGACUCCUAGUGGGAGGGCUCCUCCAUAUCUUUAAAGCUAUUGUGUCCCUCUUGUGCAUAUAUCAUGAUGUCAUCUUCCUGCUCUUGUAUUCAUCAAUUAUGAGCAGAGAACAAAUGACUAUUGGUAAUAUUUCUUUACACCAACAAUUCAUUGCUCAUCAAGACAUUAGGGUUCAGAAGAACAUUGCAUGGCUGCAGAAAUAGUUUCAAUAUAGCUUUAAAAGAAAUCAAAACAUUAGACCAUUCUGGAUCUUGGAAUACAAUAGCAAUUUCACGAAGUUAUUGGAUUUUCUUUGGCUAAGCACUGAGAAGUUGGUUUCCAGUAGAGGUGGAUAAAGUGUGAACUUAUAAAUCAGCUACUAUAACAAAUAUUUUUAUACAGUCAGGUGAUGUACUAGUGAGUUAGGUCAUAACUUUCUCUGUGUAUAUAGAAUCAUAGUGGAAAUGCAAGGAAAUCUUAGUGAGAAGAUGGCAAAUGGAAGACUAACAUCAGAAAGGAAUUUGGAGGCUGAUACCACUUGUUACAUUGAGUCAGCCAUCACUGUUACAUUUAAGUGUUCUGUUCAACAUAUUCCUUCCCUUUGGUAGACCUCUUUUACAUAGAAACGAUGCUGUUGAUUGGCUGUUAUGAAUUCAGGCAACCAUAAUUUGACCGUUCUGGGCCAACAGGCUCUCAUUGAUCCUUUAGCCUCAGGCAAAGAAUAUUUCACAUUCCGAACCUCUUUAUGGCAUCUAUGCAGUGACUUGACUCGAAGAAGAGCUGGGGAAGCCAGGAGACAAUUUGAAGAGACUUGAAGGUUGGGUUGCUGACCUGAAGGUUGCUGGUUUGAAUCCAACCCGGAGAGAUCAUGUCUGAGCUCCCUCUGUCAGCUCCAGCUCCAUAAGGGGACAUGAGAGAAGCCUCCCAGCUCCAUAAGGGGACAUGAGAGAAGCCUCCCACAAGGAUGGUCAACCCAGUUCCCUUGCCCUCUGAAAUGCAGCCAACUAAUGGAGAUGAUAUCCUGGCAGGAACAGCUGGUGGAUGGCAUAGUCGUAGUUGCCUGAAGCAGUUUCCUUUCUUUAUGGGACAAGAUAACCAUCUUCUAGCUUGGGAGGAGCAAUGUAGGCCCGGAGUCAAGCUCAGGUUUCUCUUCUAUUUAUUUACUUACUUACUUACUUACUUACUUACUUACAAUAUUUAUAUUCUGCCCUUCUCACCCCGAAGGGGACUCAGGACGGAUUACAGUGCACAUAUACAUGGCAAACAUUCAAUUCCAUUAGAUAUACGACAUAUAGA